rnacentral:rRNA from 1 species
AUGAGGAGGAGCAGCGGCGCCGGGGCGUGGGCUCUUGGUGUGGCCGUGGCGGCCGCGGCCAUCUUCCUGGCGGCGGAGGCGGCCGGCGCGGCGCCCGUGCCGCACGACUAUGAGCAGGCCCUGCGGAAGAGCCUGCUCUACUUCGAGGCGCAGCGGUCGGGGCGGCUGCCGCACGGCCAGCGCGUCGCCUGGCGCGACCACUCCGGCCUCACCGACGGCCUCGAGCAAGGAGUGGAUUUGGUGGGCGGAUACUACGAUGCCGGCGACCACGUCAAGUUCGGGCUGCCCAUGGCGUUCACGGUGACCAUGCUGUCGUGGAGCCUUCUGGAGUACGGCGGCGACGUGGCGGCCGCCGGCGAGCUCGCCCACGCCCUCGAGUCCAUCAAGUGGGGCACCGACUACUUCAUCAAGGCGCACACCAAGCCCGACGAGCUCUGGGCCGAGGUUGGCGACGGCGACACCGAUCACUACUGCUGGCAGCGGCCGGAGGACAUGACCACGUCGCGCCAGGCCUACAAGGUCGACCGCGAGCGCCCCGGCUCCGACGUCGCCGGCGAGACCGCCGCCGCCCUGGCCGCCGCCUCCAUGGCGUUCCGCGAGACCAACCCGCACUACGCCCACCUCCUCCUCCACCAUGCCCAGCAGCUGUUCGAGUUCGCUGACAAGUACAGAGGCAAGUACGACAGCAGCAUCGCCGAGGUGAAGAGCUACUACGCGUCCGUCAGCGGCUACCACGACGAGCUGCUCUGGGCGGCGCUCUGGCUCCACCGCGCCACCGGCAGGGCCAGCUACCUCGACUACGUGGUGGACAACGCGCACGAGUUCGGCGGUACCGGAUGGGCCAUCACCGAGUUCAGCUGGGACGUCAAGUACGCCGGCGUCCAGAUCCUCGCCACCCGGCUGCUGCUGCGGGGCGAUCACGAGGAGCGCCACCGGGCCACGCUCGAGGGGUACCGCGCCAAGGCGGAGCACUACGUGUGCGCGUGCAUGGGCAAGAACGCCGCCGCCGAGGACAACGUGGAGCGCAGCCCCGGCGGGAUGCUCUACGUGCGCCAGUGGAACAACAUGCAGUACGUCACCAGCGCCGCGUACCUCCUCUCCGUCUACUCGGGCUACCUCACGGAGGCCGGCGACGGCGGCGCGGCCGUGACGUGCGCGGGCGGCGGGGGGUCGGCAGACGCCGGCGAGGUGUUCGCGCACGCCCGGGCGCAGGUGGACUACGUGCUGGGGAGCAACCCGCGCGGGAUCAGCUACCUGGUGGGGUACGGCGCCAAGUUCCCGGCGAGGGUGCACCACCGCGCCGCGUCCAUCGUGCCGUACAAGGACAGGAAGGAGUUCAUCGGGUGCGCGCAGGGGUUCGACGACUGGUUCGGCCGCAAGAGCGCCAACCCCAACGUGGUCGUCGGCGCCAUCGUCGGCGGGCCCGACCGCCACGACAGGUUCAGGGACGACAGGGUCAACUACAUGCAGACGGAGGCGUGCACGUACAACACCGCCCCCAUGGUCGGCAUGUUCGCCAUGCUCAACAGGGUGGCGCGGCAGCAGGGCCCCUCGCCGGCGACGCAACGGCCGGAGAGCAGUAGAAGUACUGCGGCGGAGUGA